rnacentral:other from 1 species
UAUUUCCUGCGGCGUUCGAAAGUGGGCUGGGUGUUUCCUGAACCUAUAUUGACCCCGGGGACGAAUAUUUAUCAUGGUGUGUAAGCCCAUUCAGUUGGGAAACCCGAUUGAUAGAAAGCGUCCCCACUUGAACCUUCGGUUCAAGGACGAAAGCACAUAGCGGCGCACGCGGGUCAUAC